rnacentral:rRNA from 1 species
AUUGGACGCUGGCGGCAGGCUUAACACAUGCAAGUCGAGCGGGGUGAUGGUGCUUGCACUAUCACUUAGCGGCGGACGGGUGAGUAAUGCUUAGGAAUCUGCCUAUUAGUGGGGGACAACAUCUCGAAAGGGAUGCUAAUACCGCAUACGUCCUACGGGAGAAAGCAGGGGAUCACUUGUGACCUUGCGCUAAUAGAUGAGCCUAAGUCGGAUUAGCUAGUUGGUGGGGUAAAGGCCUACCAAGGCGACGAUCUGUAGCGGGUCUGAGAGGAUGAUCCGCCACACUGGGACUGAGACACGGCCCAGACUCCUACGGGAGGCAGCAGUGGGGAAUAUUGGACAAUGGGGGCAACCCUGAUCCAGCAAUGCCGCGUGAGUGAAGAAGGCCUUCGGGUUGUAAAGCUCUUUUGUCAGGGAAGAAACGGUGGGGGUUAAUACCCUCUGCUAAUGACGGUAUUAUAUGAAUAAGCACCGGCUAACUCCGUGCCAGCCGCCGCCGUAA